rnacentral:rRNA from 1 species
AAACAUCGCCUCCUGUAGUAUAUAGGAGGUCCAGCCUGCCCAGUGACCAAGUUAAACGGCCGCGGUACCCUAACCGUGCGAAGGUAGCGCAAUCACUUGUUCUUUAAAUGAGGACUAGUAUGAAUGGCAUCACGAGGGUUACACUGUCUCCCACCUCUAAUCAGUGAAACUGAUCUCCCCGUGAAGAAGCGGGGAUAAAACUAUAAGACGAGAAGACCCCAUGGAGCUUCAAACCCGGCAUCAACCAUUAACAUUAAUACCACAUUAAAUAAAUGGACCUGACUGCUGGUUUUAGGUUGGGGUGACCGCGGAGCAUAACAAAACCUCCAUGAUGAACGACCUCCUCUCUAAUCCGAGAGCCACCACUCAAAGAAUCAAAAAAUUGACAUUUAUUGACCCAAACUAUUUUGAUCAACGAACCAAGUUACCCUGGGGAUAACAGCGCAAUCCAUUUCAAGAGCCCCUAUCGACAAAUGGGUUUACGACCUCGAUGUUGGAUCAGGGUAUCCUAGUGGUGCAGCCGCUACUAAAG